rnacentral:lncRNA from 1 species
GGCGGACGGGGCUCCAUGCCGGAUACAUGACGUAUCCGGGAUCCGGCUCCCCUGCCCGCUUGACCGCGUCGUGCAUCUUGUGGUCCACCUGCAACGCCGCCGGCCCGACAGCAUCCUCCUUCUUGUGGAACGGGUGGUCGGGCAACGCUGCUGGCCAGACAGCGUCGUGCUUCUCGUGGAAUGGGUGGUCGGGCAACGCCGCCGGCCAGACAGCGCCCUGCUUCGUCUUGUGGAAUGAGUGGUCUGGCAAUGCCGCCGUAGGCCCACCAGUGUCCUGCUUCUUGUGGAAUGGAUGGUCAGGCAACGCCGCCGGCCAGACAGCGCCCUGCUUCGUCUUGUGGAAUGAGUGGUCCGGCAAUGCCGCCGCAGGCCCGC